UACAGAGGUCCCGAGCGUUGUUCGGAUUCACUGGGCGUAAAGGGUGCGUAGGUGGCGAGGUAAGUCGGAUGUGAAAGCUCGGAGCUCAACUCCGAAAUGGCAUUGGAAACUACCUUGCUCGAGGGUUGGAGGGGGGACUGGAAUACUUGGUGUAGCAGUGGAAUGCGCAGAUAUCAGGAGCAACACCGAUGGCGAAGGCAGGUCUCUGGGCCGCAACUGACGCUGAGGAGCGAAAGCAUGGGGAGCGAACAGG
rnacentral:rRNA from 1 species